rnacentral:rRNA from 1 species
GACGAACGCUGGCGGCGUGCUUAACACAUGCAAGUCGAACGGAAAGGCCCUGCUCUUGUGGGGUGCUCGAGUGGCGAACGGGUGAGUAACACGUGAGUAACCUGCCCUUGACUUUGGGAUAACUUCAGGAAACUGGGGCUAAUACCGGAUAGGAGCUCCUGCUGCAUGGUGGGGGUUGGAAAGUUUCGGCGGUUGGGGAUGGACUCGCGGCUUAUCAGCUUGUUGGGGGGGGAGUGGCUUACCAAGUCUUUGACGGGUAGCCGGCAUGGGAGGGUGGCCGGCGACAUGGGGCCUACGGGAGGGCCCAGACUCCAACGUGAGGCAGCAGUGGGGACUAUUGCACAAUGGGGGGAAGCCUGAUGCAGCGGCGCCGCGGGCGGGAUGACGGCCUUCGGGGUGUAAACCGCUUUCGCCUGUGACGAAGCGUGAGUGACGGUAAUGGGUAAAGAAGCACCGGCUAACUACGUG